GGGGAAUUUUCCGCAAUGGGCGAAAGCCUGACGGAGCAAUACCGCGUGAGGGAGGAAGGCUCUUGGGUUGUAAACCUCUUUUCUCAGGGAAGAAAAAAAUGACGGUACCUGAGGAAUAAGCAUCGGCUAACUCCGUGCCAGCAGCCGCGGUAAUACGGAGGAUGCAAGCGUUAUCCGGAAUGAUUGGGCGUAAAGCGUCCGCAGGUGGCUAUGUAAGUCUGCUGUUAAAGAAUCUGGCUCAACCAGAUAAAGGCAGUGGAAACUACAUGGCUAGAGUGCGUUCGGGGCAGAGGGAAUUCCUGGUGUAGCGGUGAAAUGCGUAGAGAUCAGGAAGAACACCGGUGGCGAAAGCGCUCUGCUAGGCCGCAACUGACACUGAGGGACGAAAGCUAGGGGAGCGAAUGGGAUUAGAUACCCCAG
rnacentral:rRNA from 1 species